UCAGCUCUGCCGCUCCCCCUGCCUCUUCAUCUUCGAUUCUUCUAUUUUUUAAUAACUGCAGCUCCCUCAUCUCUCUAAAUUCUUUCACUCAUCUGCCUCUUCAUCUCGCACAAUUAAUUGUUCUAACAUCUGCUCAUCACUCAAUAAUUGCAUAACAAUCGGCGAGGACUCUGCAAAUUCUACAACACCGCAAAUGGUUAUCGAUUCUGUCGUCGCAGACCUCGUGGACUUCCUGAACGCAACACCGACCGCUUUCCAUGCUGUUGAUGAGGUGAAGAAGCGAUUGAAGGCUGCUGGAUUCGAGCAAUUGUCGGAGAGAGAGGACUGGAGCUUGGAGGCAGUGCUUUCCAUACCAUCGGAUAGAACAUGAUAAAAAGGAUGAGACUCAACCUGAUUACUAGAGAAGAAACAAGCUCUCAUCUUCGCGAUGUUGGAAUUUUCUCUCUUUAUGAGUAGAAAAAUACAAAGGGAAAUUUUACGGCAGUAUGAAUAUCCAAGCAUUGGCGCUACUGAGUUACUUCUGUCCAAUGGCAUCAAGAUCUGCUACAAAUCCACUGACUUUCUUGAUGAUCAGAUCAUUUUUACAAGGUUCACAUACGGUGGAUUGUCUGAGUUGUCAGAAGAUGAAUAUAUGUCAUGCUCAAUGGGAUCAACCAUUGCUGGAUAAAUUAGUGCAUUUCGUUAGAAACCCUCUGUGCUUAUGGAUAUGCUUGCCGGUAAGAGAGCUAAAGUUAGCACAAAAAUUGGGGCAUAUAUGAGGACCUUUUCUGGUGAUUGCUCGCCUUGUGAUUUGGAAAAUGAUUUGCAGGGUUUGUCACCUUAUGGGAAAAAUAAAUAUGUGUGGAAGAUGUUUUACAUUUACAUGCUAGGUUAUGACGUUGAUUUUAGUCAUACAGAGGCUGUUUCUUUAAUAUCUGCACUAAAGUACACAGAGAAGCAGAUGGAAGAGGUCACCCUGUCAAUGUAAGGCCAUCUAUAUACCCUACAUAUAAAGGCGUUGGAAAGUGGGCAUCCGUAGCCUUUUAGGGUUUGUAUGAAUUUAAGUGCCUUCUUUGAGGGACUAUAUUGCCGGUAAUGCGAGUAUGUGAUCUGAUUUAUAAAGGGUAGUUUCUUCUAGAAAACUUGUAUAUUGCUGGAAAUUUAUUAGCUUUUUGUUGUAUGUAAAAAAUAUUAUUUAUUUUUAAUUAUUGGCUUUCAACAAUAAAGCUAUGUUUGCAAGCUAUCAUGUUGACUCUUUUUUCUUCUCAA